rnacentral:rRNA from 1 species
GGCUGCAGUGGGGAAUUUUGGACAAUGGGCGCAAGCCUGAUCCAGCCAUGCCGCGUGUCUGAAGAAGGCCUUCGGGUUGUAAAGGACUUUUGUCAGGGAAGAAAAGGCUGUUGCUAAUAUCAGCGGCUGAUGACGGUACCUGAAGAAUAAGCACCGGCUAACUACGUGCCAGCAGCCGCGGUAAUACGUAGGGUGCGAGCGUUAAUCGGAAUUACUGGGCGUAAAGCGGGCGCAGACGGUUACUUAAGCAGGAUGUGAAAUCCCCGGGCUCAACCCGGGAACUGCGUUCUGAACUGGGUGACUCGAGUGUGUCAGAGGGAGGUAGAAUUCCACGUGUAGCAGUGAAAUGCGUAGAGAUGUGGAGGAAUACCGAUGGCGAAGGCAGCCUCCUGGGACAACACUGACGUUCAUGCCCGAAAGCGUGGGUAGCAAACAGGAUUAGAUACCCCUGUAGUC